AAUUGCUAAGAGGAAACAUGCUUUCUCUACCAUUUUACCUUACUGGUACGGCCAACAGAAGCAAUGAAUGAUUUUAUAGGGUAAUAAGCAGGCAUAUAGGGCUGGCUAAUCACAUCUACUAACAACAAACAAUGGAAUGAGAGGCUGCUUGAUGUUGUCAUUGCCACCUCCGCUCGCGAAUUCGUUUGUCAUUGCCACAGUUUCGUCCAAGAAGAGGCAGAGGAUAGGCGCGGGGCGCUGUUGGGGGAAGCAAGAUGACAGCAAGUAGUGCGACUGCACAGCGGGAGCCUGAGAGGAAGAUGUUGUUGAUUCAGGAGCAGUGACAUCAAUCCCAUGGUCGCCCAGAUUUCACAAUGGUGGCGCUCAUGGCCAUCAGGAUGGAGAUGCUGACUCACUAUAGGGUGUUGGACAGCUGGGACAUCAGCUCCGCCGACUCCUCCACAACUGAGAAUCUCUACAUGACUGUCAGUAUGUGGAUUAUGAUGUCUGCAGGUUUGUUUUCCAUAUUCGUGCACAAUGCAUCAGAAUGGAUAUCUGAUCACUCAACUAUAAUACUGACUGGGUGUUUUAUUAUCUUUUAAACAAACAAACAUAUUUUC